rnacentral:rRNA from 1 species
UACGUAGGGUGCAAGCGUUGUCCGGAAUUAUUGGGCGUAAAGAGCUCGUAGGCGGUCUGUCACGUCGGCUGUGAAAACCCGAGGCUCAACCUCGGGCCUGCAGUCGAUACGGGCAAACUAGAGUACUGCAGGGGAGACUGGAAUUCCUGGUGUAGCGGUGAAAUGCGCAGAUAUCAGGAGGAACACCAACGGCGAAGGCAGCACUCUGGGCCGGUACUGACGCUGAGGAGCGAAAGCGUGGGGAGCAAACAGG